rnacentral:rRNA from 1 species
AACGAACGCUGGCGGCGCGCCUAACACAUGCAAGUCGAACGAAGUACCCGUUUUCGGAUGGACUACUUAGUGGCGCACGGGUGAGUAACGCGUGGGAAUCUGCCCUUGGCUACGGGACAACCGCGGGAAACUGCGGCUAAUACCGUAUAAUGCAACUUGUUGCCAAAGAUUUAUCGGCCAAGGAGGAGCCCGCGUUGGAUUAGCUUGUUGGUGGGGUAACGGCCUACCAAGGCUCUGAUCCAUAGCUGGUCUGAGAGGACGAUCAGCCACACUGGGACUGAGACACGGCCCAGACUCCUACGGGAGGCAGCAGUGGGAAUCUUGGACAAUGGGGGAAACCCUGAUCCAGCGACGCCGCGUGGAUGAAGAAGGCCUUAGGGUUGUAAAGUCCUUUCACCGGGGAGGAUGAUGACGUUACCCGGAGAAGAAGCACC